rnacentral:rRNA from 1 species
AGAAUCAACGCUGGCGGCGUGCCUAACACAUGCAAGUCGAACGAGAAAGUGGAGCAAUCCAUGAGUACAGUGGCGUACGGGUGAGUAACACGUGACUAACCUACCCUCGAGUGGGGAAUAACCUCGGGAAACCGGGCUAAUACCGCAUAACAUCUACGGAUCAAAUGCGUAAGCAGCUUGAGGAGGGGGUCGCGGCUGAUUAGCUAGUUGGCGGGGUAAUGGCCCACCAAGGCGGUGAUCAGUA